GCAAAAAGUUAAAGCACUAUCAAGCAUGUAUUAAAAACCCCUUACUUGCUUACUUUAUUUUGAGAUGUUGGCUGUGUCACGAAUUCUAAUCUUGCCAAAUAAUCCCUAACUUACCCUGCCUUUGGCUCUUUUAAGUAGCAGCUGUUUGAUGCUGAUGGCACAAAUUUUGGGAGGUCUCUGUGUUCACUGCUACCUGAAGGCCUCCAUGGAUUAAUCAAUGAGGCCGUAAUAGUGUAUUUAAUCUGAAGUAAGUCGUGCUUGCAAACGAAGCAUGACGUUAUUCUCGAUUCUGUGGUGCCCGUUUUUCGCCGAAACUCAGGAUCUUCAUAGAGUCGCUCACAACUCCAGCACAUCGGUUUACGUGGUGGGCGAGCAUCAAUCCCCCAAAAGAUCACUUCUGUCGCCGAAUAACACAAUGAAUACCGUGCAUGACUUUGACGAUUUCAUCACGCCUUCAUGUCCGCCUCAUUUUGGUCAUUGAUGGCGGCGGCCACAGAUGGGGUGUGGGCAUCAGGGUUAUCCUCAGGGUUGUCCUCAGGGCUGUCCUCAGGGCUGUCCUCAGGGUUGACUUCAGGCUUGACUUCAGGGUUGACAUCGUGGUUGUCCUCAGGGUUGUUGUCCUCAGGGUUGUUGCCCUCAGGGUUGUUGCCCUCAGGGUUGUUGCCCUCAGGGUUGUUGCCCUCAGGGUUGUUGCCCUCAGGGUUGUUGCCCUCAGGGUUGUUGCCCUCAGGG